GACGAACGCUGGCGGCGUGCUUAACACAUGCAAGUCGAACGGAAAGGCCCUGCUUUUGUGGGGUGCUCGAGUGGCGAACGGGUGAGUAACACGUGAGUAACCUGCCCUUGACUUUGGGAUAACUUCAGGAAACUGGGGCUAAUACCGGAUAGGAGCUCCUGCUGCAUGGUGGGGGUUGGAAAGUUUCGGCGGUUGGGGAUGGACUCGCGGCUUAUCAGCUUGUUGGUGGGGUAGUGGCUUACCAAGGCUUUGACGGGUAGCCGGCCUGAGAGGGUGACCGGCCACAUUGGGACUGAGAUACGGCCCAGACUCCUACGGGAGGCAGCAGUGGGGAAUAUUGCACAAUGGGCGGAAGCCUGAUGCAGCAACGCCGCGUGCGGGAUGACGGCCUUCGGGUUGUAAACCGCUUUCGCCUGUGACGAAGCGUGAGUGACGGUAAUGGGUAAAGAAGCACCGGCUAACUACGUGCCAGCAGCCGCGGUGAUACGUAGGGUGCGAGCGUUGUCCGGAUUUAUUGGGCGUAAAGGGCUCGUAGGUGGUUGAUCGCGUCGGAAGUGUAAUCUUGGGGCUUAACCCUGAGCGUGCUUUCGAUACGGGUUGACUUGAGGAAGGUAGGGGAGAAUGGAAUUCCUGGUGGAGCGGUGGAAUGCGCAGAUAUCAGGAGGAACACCAGUGGCGAAGGCGGUUCUCUGGGCCUUUCCUGACGCUGAGGAGCGAAAGCGUGGGGAGCGAACAGGCUUAGAUACCCUGGUAGUCCACGCUGUAAACGGUGGGUACUAGGUGUGGGGUCCAUUCCACGGGUUCCGUGCCGUAGCUAACGCUUUAAGUACCCCGCCUGGGGAGUACGGCCGCAAGGCUAAAACUCAAAGGAAUUGACGGGGCCCCGCACAAGCGGCGGAGCAUGCGGAUUAAUUCGAUGCAACGCGUAGAACCUUACCUGGGUUUGACAUGGAUCGGGAGCGCUCAGAGAUGGGUGUGCCUCUUUUGGGGUCGGUUCACAGGUGGUGCAUGGCUGUCGUCAGCUCGUGUCGUGAGAUGUUGGGUUAAGUCCCGCAACGAGCGCAACCCUUGUUCACUGUUGCCAGCACGUUAUGGUGGGGACUCAGUGGAGACCGCCGGGGUCAACUCGGAGGAAGGUGGGGAUGACGUCAAGUCAUCAUGCCCCUUAUGUCCAGGGCUUCACGCAUGCUACAAUGGCUGGUACAGAGAGUGGCGAGCCUGUGAAGGUGAGCGAAUCUCAGAAAGCCGGUCUCAGUUCGGAUUGGGGUCUGCAACUCGACCUCAAGAAGUCGGAGUCGCUAGUAAUCGCAGAUCAGCAACGCUUCGGUGAAUACGUUCCCGGG
rnacentral:rRNA from 1 species